AUUGAACGUGAUUUGCUGGGUGCUUGCACCGAGCAAUGAAAGUAGCGCACUGGUGAGUAACACGUGGGAACGUACCUUUUGGUGGGGAACAACAGUUGGAAACGACUGCUAAUACCGCAUAAGCCCUGAGGGGGAAAGAUUUAUCGCCGAAAGAACGGCCCGCGGAAGAUUAGGUAGUUGGUGGGGUAACGGCCUACCAAGCCGACGAUCUAUAGCUGGUCUGAGAGGACGAUCAGCCACAUUGGAACUGAGACACGGUCCAA
rnacentral:rRNA from 1 species